AAGAAUUUGGUUCUGGUUUUUAUUUUUAAGGCAGUAAAGGAUUAUACAUGCCAGUUAUUAUAGCGUCCCGGUGAAGAUCCAUAAAAGAUAAGUAUUCUUUUCAUUAUAUUUACUUUCAUGAAAUGGAAAAUGACCUAUUUUUGCUAGGUAAAAUGUUCGUUGAGUAGCAUCACAUCUGCAGUAAUAAAUAUUUAACUAUGCCUAAAAAGGUGAUUGAACCAAAUAUAAACAAACUGACGAAAAUACCGUGCCAGCAGUCGCGGUUAAACGGAUGGUUUUCUUAAAAUAUUAAGUAGCUUAACACGGAAAUCAAAUUUAUGAAAAUGAAAAGUUCUAAGAAUCUAAUGUGGAAAUUAAUCUUAUUGCGAAUCUUUUUUAUGAGAGAGACCGUCAAGAUUGAGAUGGAGACCGGGUUUUGAUAUCCCGUUAUUCUCUAAAAAGAAAGUUAAUGCUGGUGGAGUAAGAAGGAAAUCUUUGAGAAACAAAGAACUUGGCGGCAAUUUAGUUCUGAUUAGGGGAGCCUGUUUGAAGAAAAUGAUAAUCCGCGUUAUACCUAACCUUUUUUUGUACUACCAGCUUCUAUAUCAUCGUCAUUAAGUUUUCACUGUAAGUUAGAAGACAAGGUUUCUUCAUAAAAGAAAGAUGUCAGAUCGAGAUGGAGCCUAUAAAAAGGAGAGAAUGGGCUACAAUACUAUUAAGUAAUAAUUCACAGAUAUGAAUACUUCUAUGAAAAAGAAUUUGAAAUAGGACUUAAUAGUAAUAAAAUAAAAGAAAAAUUUUAUGAAAUAAGCUCUGAAUUGCGUACACAUCGCCCGUCACCUGCGGGGUAAAACCUGGAGUAAGUCGUAACAAAGUAGGCGUACCGGAAGGUGCGGCCUGGUAAAUU
rnacentral:ncRNA from 1 species